rnacentral:rRNA from 1 species
AACGAACGCUGGCGGCAUGCCUAACACAUGCAAGUCGAACGAGACCUUCGGGUCUAGUGGCGCACGGGUGCGUAACGCGUGGGAACCUGCCCUUAGGUUCGGAAUAACUCCCCGAAAGGGGUGCUAAUACCGGAUAAUGUCUUCGGACCAAAGAUUUAUCGCCUUUGGAUGGGCCCGCGUUGGAUUAGCUAGUUGGUAGGGUAAAAGCCUACCAAGGCGACGAUCCAUAGCUGGUCUGAGAGGAUGAUCAGCCACACUGGGACUGAGACACGGCCCAGACUCCUACGGGAGGCAGCAGUGGGGAAUAUUGGACAAUGGGCGAAAGCCUGAUCCAGCAAUGCCGCGUUAGUGAUGCAGGCCUUAGGGUUGUAAAGCUCUUUUACCCGGGAUGAUAAUGACAGUACCGGGAGAAUAAGCUCCGGCUAACUCCGUG